GAUGAACGCUGGCGGCGUGCCUAAUACAUGCAAGUCGAGCGAACAGACGAGGAGCUUGCUCCUCUGACGUUAGCGGCGGACGGGUGAGUAACACGUGGAUAACCUACCUAUAAGACUGGGAUAACUUCGGGAAACCGGAGCUAAUACCGGAUAAUAUAUUGAACCGCAUGGUUCAAUAGUGAAAGACGGUUUUGCUGUCACUUAUAGAUGGAUCCGCGCCGCAUUAGCUAGUUGGUAAGGUAACGGCUUACCAAGGCAACGAUGCGUAGCCGACCUGAGAGGGUGAUCGGCCACACUGGAACUGAGACACGGUCCAGACUCCUAAGGGAGGCAGCAGUAGGGAAGCUUCCGCAAUGGGCGAAAGCCUGACGGAGCAACGCCGCGUGAGUGAUGAAGGUCUUCGGAUCGUAAAACUCUGUUAUUAGGGAAGAACAAAUGUGUAAGUAACUAUGCACGUCUUGACGGUACCUAAUCAGAAAGCCACGGCUAACUACGUG
rnacentral:rRNA from 1 species